GAGUAGUCCAAUUACCCAAUCCUCUAUCUGUUCAAAUUCAAAUUAAUAGGACAUUGGUUAUUCUGAUUCCAAUUCAAUGCCCACAUUAUUGUAUACAUUACUCUACUGAUGGUUUCACUGAACAUUCAAACCAACAUUACCAAAGUUGUUUACCAUACCAGGACCAAAGCAGGAGUUUGUCAUAUUAAUUCGACUCAACUUCCAAUUCUAAGCUACAACUACCACAUGAGUCCAAUAACACUUCAUUGAAGUUAAAGGUUUACAAGGGAUGAAGUCAAAUCCAAAGUUUAUCAGUUCGGCUAAUUCAAAUGCAGUUUUCAAUUCAAUAUUGUCCAAACUGUGAAUCUAGCUACAAUUAAUAAAUAACUAAGUUAUAUGUUAACAGUUAAUUCACAAUUCUACAUGAACUCAGAUGAACAAUGAACAAUUCUUCAUUAUGGAUUCCACAGGUGAUUUAUAUAAGUGAGUCAUACUUCCAUAUCAAAGGACAAUGAAAAUGUACCUGGAGAUGUGAAAUAUAAGAAUAAGAAGAGAAAAUCAAUAAUUAAUAACAGCCAAUAUCUAGCAAUCAACAAAUAGCAAUAGCAGAUGUGAUUUAGAACAAAAAAUUGAUUCACAAAAUCCAGGAAUACCACAGCAAUCAAAAACCCAGUAAACCAAAAACUGAUUUGUUUGAACUGAAAAAUCACUCGAAAUCAAACCAUGAAUAAUUCUUAACUUCAGCUAGCAGAAUUUUAUCUAAAAUGUAAAUCAACUAACUAAAACUAGAAAUCAUCUAAGAGAUUGAACGGAACAAUACCGUUUUUGUAGUUUUCUCCAAUUUUUCUAAUUUUGUUUGGUUUUUUGAAGAUCUAGGAAAUCUGAAAUUCGAAAUCAAAAUUGAAAAUUAAUUGAAUAACUUCAGAUCUGUGAAAAGUUAGAGAGGUUUUUGGGGGGAACUUUUUGGAGGUUCUAAACUUGUGUAAUAAUACAGAAUGGCAUGCCUUUAUAUCGGCAGGAAAUGGGUGGGAAAGUUCUAGAACUCAACCCCCUAGAUGAAACCUGCUCUCUCCUCACAUGACCUCCCCCGGACUUAUUUUCUAUAAAUGAAAUUAUUCCCUCUGUUUUAUUCCCCAAACUACCCCCAAAGUUCCUUAUGUUUGCCCUGAACCUAUGGGCUGAAUUAAAACAUAACUAUGUCUACACUAAUAGCCCGAUUUCAUAAUUUCAUGUCAUCAAUCAACCAAGCCUUAAGGUCAGAAUAAGGCUAUUCGAGCCAACAAAAAAAAUAGUAAAAGAAUUCAAAAACAAAAAUCAAAAUUCCCUGGCUUCAAACUAUUUAGUUAUUGACCAAUAUUAAAUGACAAUAUUAAAGAAUAAACAACAAACGAUUACUACCAAUUUGAUCAAACAACAAUCACUUACUAUCAAUUUGAACUAACCUAAGGAAUUCAGACUAAGGGAAGCAAAGGAGGGGAACAGAACUUGACUAUAGAACAGAAAGAAAAAAUAAGAAGAAGAUUGAAUUGAAACAAUCAAAAGAAGAAAUAAAAUAAAUGAAAGAAAGAGAGACUCAUCAUCUUGACUCGAACAUCAAACCUUUGAACUCGAACUUGUUAACCACUCGAUUGACUUCCAAUACGGCUUCUAGAUAAUAUUAUAUGUUCAUUUUUAUAAAACAAACAUGUAACAUUAUUUGGAAUCGCAUGAAAAUCGAUGUUAUUGAAACCCUAGAUCCAAGACAUGAAGAUAUUAAGGCAGAUUUGAAGGGUUUUGGGUUGGGAUUUGUGUAACGGAAAUCAGGGAGAUCUUAUGGUAUGAAUUUAGGCAGUUUGGACAUGGUAGGGUUUCAAGCCAGAACUUAAAACUAAUAUUCGAAGAAUUCGACUUUGAUUUGAGGGAAACCAUUUGGACAUUAGGAAUGAGGGUGUUGCGGCGGAUUGGCGAUAGCGCCACCAUCACAGGCGGUUGGGAAAUUAGGGUUGCUGGGGCUAGGGUUUUCCAGAAGAAGGCUAAUGGGAGAGAUGGGGGGGAUGAAGGGUUCAGACUUAUAUAUACUGGUUUAACCCAACUACGAACCGUUUUAUCAAAAGAAC
rnacentral:lncRNA from 1 species